UACGAAGGGGGGCUAGCGUUGUUCGGAAUUACUGGGCGUAAAGCGCACGUAGGCGGAUACUUAAGUCAGGGGUGAAAUCCCGGGGCUCAACCCCCGGAACUGCCUUUGAUACUGGGUAUCUCGAGUCCGGAAGAGGUGAGUGGAAUUCCGAGUGUAGAGGUGAAAUUCGUAGAUAUUCGGAGGAACACCAGUGGCGAAGGCGGCUCACUGGUCCGGUACUGACGCUGAGGUGCGAAAGCGUGGGGAGCAAACAGGG
rnacentral:rRNA from 1 species